UAUUUAUUCCAAGAAAAGCUCAUUCGACUUUGAGUCUAGAUUACCUGUACCGUAAACCGACACAGGUGAGUGGGUUGAAUAAACUAAGGGGAGCGAGAUAACUCUCUCUAAGGAACUCGGCAAAUUGGCUCUGUACCUUCGGAAGAAAGAGUGCCCCUUCAUGGGGCCGCAGUGAAGAGAUCCAGGCGACUGUUUACCAAAAACACAGGUCUCCGCAAAGUCGUAAGACGACGUAUGGGGGCUGACACCUGCCCAGUGCCAGAAGGUUAAAGAAGUUGGUCAAUCUUUGAUGAAGCUAACAACUGAAGCCCUGGUGAACGGCGGCAGUAACAAUAACUGUCCUAAGGUAGCGAAAUUCCUUGUCGGGUAAGUUCCGACCCGCACGAAAGGUGUAACGAUCUGGAUACUGUCUCAGAGAGAGACUCGGUGAAAUAAAACUAGCUGUGAAGAUGCGGCUUACCUGCACACGGACAGAAAGACCCUAUGAAGCUUUACUGUAACCUGGAAUUGCUUUCAAGCUUAUUUUGCGCAGCUUAGGUGGGAGGCUACGAACCUUUUCUUCCGGGAAGAGGGGAGCCAUCAGUGAGAUACCACUCUUGGUAAGCUAGAAAGCUCAGUCUUAACCGUUAUCCGGUAAGACGACAGUUUCAGGCGGGCAGUUUGACUGGGGCAGUCACCUCCCAAAAGGUAAUGGAGGUGCACAAAGGUUCCCUCAGGUUGGACGGAAAUCAACCAUAGAGUGUAAAAGCAUAAGGGAGCUUGACUGCGAGACUGACAUGUCAAGCAGAGACGAAAGUCGGUUUUAGUGAUCCGACGGUGCUGCGUGGAAAGGCCGUCGCUCAACGGAUAAAAGUUACUCUAGGGAUAACAGGCUAAUCUCCCCCAAGAGUUCACAUCGACGGGGAGGUUUGGCACCUCGAUGUCGGCUCAUCGCAUCCUGGAGCGGAAGUACGUUCCAAGGGUUGGGCUGUUCGCCCAUAGAAAGCGGUACGCGAGCUGGGUUCAGAACGUCGUGAGACAGUUUGGUCCAUAUCCUGUGUAGGCGUUUAGAGCAUUGAAAGGAUCUCCCCUUUGUACGAGAGGACCAGGUGGGGACAGACCUCUAGUGUACCAGUUAUUCCGCCAGGGGUAAACGCUGGGUAGCUAUGUCUGGAGUAAAUAACUGCUGAAAGCAUAUAAGUAGGAAGUUCACCUUAAGAUGA
rnacentral:rRNA from 1 species